AAACUAACAAGGAUUCCCCUAGUAACGGCGAGUGAAGAGGGAAGAGCCCAAGAUUGAAAGCUGGCGUCUUCGGCGUCCGCAUUGUAAUCUCAAGAAGUGUUUUCCGCUUCGGACCAUGCCUAAGUCCCUUGGAAAAGGGCAUCAUAGAGGGUGAUAAUCCCGUACAUGGCAUGGAGCGCCCGAAGCUUUGUGAUACGCUUUCUACGAGUCGAGUUGUUUGGGAAUGCAGCUCAAAAUGGGUGGUAAAUGCCAUCUAAGGCUAAAUAUUGGGGAGAGACCGAUAGCGAACAAGUACAGUGAUGGAAAGAUGAAAAGAACUUUGAAAAGAGAGUUAAACAGUACGUGAAAUUGCCAAAAGGGAAGGGUAGGAGGUCAGAGAUGCGUCUUGGGAUUCAGCCUUGCUUUUGCUUGGUGUUUUUCCCAAGUUGCAGGCCAACGUCGGUUUUGGGCACUGGAGAAGGGUGGGAGGAACGUGGCACCUCUCGGGGUGUGUUAUAGCCUCCUACUGGAUACAGCGACCGAGACCGAGGACAGCAGCGUACUCGCAAGAGCGGGCCUUCGGGCACCUUUACGCUUAGGGCGUUGGCAUAAUGGCCCUCUACCAC
rnacentral:rRNA from 1 species